AUGCUGGUUUGUGAUUUUAUUUAUUUAUUUAUUUAUUUAUUUGUGAGAUGUAAAUGCCCCCUGCAAAAAGCAAAGUGCUCACUGUGCACCACGGGGCCGUGUCCCCAGGGCUGGGGGGAGGGCUUGCAGGACUGCACCCCUGGAAAAAGGGGGGUCAGUACAAGCCGACCCCUCCUUCAAGACCCUCCAUCCCCAGGGCUUUCUUUCCCCUUCUGCCUUUCAGAUCCCACCUGUGCCAUGUCCCCACGGCGCUGUGCCGGUGUCCCAGCAGCCGGUGGUGAUCCUCCAGCAGCUUCCUGGGACCCUCGCCCAGCCCACCAGAGCCCCACACCUGCGGGAAGAUUUAAUCGAGUUGAUGAUGAUUCAAAACUCCCAAAUGUACCAGGUGGUGAUGAACAGUCUGGCUGUGUCGGCAUUGACGUCCUUCGGGUUCGGACCAUCUCCAGCUGCUGCCCAGCCACUCAUGGUGCCUUUGCAGACCGGAGAGGAAGAGGAGGCCAUGGUUUUCCACCACCACUACGUCCCCUACGCCGGUCCCACUCCCAUCUUGGCAUGGCCAGUCCCGGCUGGGGCUGGGGGACCGGUGGUCAUGCGCUACCAGGACACGGCAGCGGAGGACGGGGAGCCCGCAGUGCCACCUCCUCCACCCCCCAGUGCCACAGGGACCGUAGGAGCCAAUGUCCCACCAUCAUCAGAGUACUACGACAUGCUGGAGCAGCGGCAGUGAGCUCCCUGCACCCUGAGGUGGCUUCUCCUGCACGUCCCUGGCCUCCACCCCAGAAGAUCUUGUGUGUGCCGAGAGUGGGUGCCCUAUGGUACUGACAGUUUUGGGGUGGCCCACAGGGAGGAGGACAACGUGCCCAGCAAAAUGCAUCAAAAUAGUACAUUUAGCUGGGCAUGUUGUCCUCCUCCCUGUGAGCCACCCCAAGGCACUGGGUGUCACGAAGCCCAUCACCAAACCCAGGUGACUGCAUAAGAGGGACAAGCUCCAGUUCAGUGGUGACAUCCCAGUCCCAGCUGAACAAUGUGUCCUUGCCAAGCCACGAGGGCCCUGCGGUGCUCGGCACCAUGCUGUGUCCCCAUGGGACAUGCUGGCAUCCGCGGGGUGGGGUUGUGCCAGCCCAGGUGUCCCUUCAGCUCCCAAUGCAGCACAUUGCCUGUAAUUAAUUUGCUUUGUUAAGAAAGCGCCCUGCUGUCACUAAUUAAGCAUCUGUAAUUACCCAGGCUUCUGGCUCUGUGCCUGAGCAUAGGGCUUCCUCCAAGCAGCAGGGGUGAGGGGGGGCUGUGAGCCUCUUGCACCCAAAGGAGGGGGAAUACCAGUGCCUGAUGCUCUUGGCCGAGCAUAGCACGGGCAGGGCUGGAUAUGGCCAAGUGCUGUUCCCACAACGGGAACACACAGUUCCACAGCUCCCACACUGUUCCACACAGUGCUGGCCCAGUGCUCAUCCCAGUAAGGGAUCCAUCCUCUAGAGGGCUCCUGGCUGAGUGAGUGUGGGGUUCCCCAGGGCUUGGUUUCCUCCCUGUUUGGGUAAAAAGGUGGGGGGAGUGUGUGCAGGCGUAUUAUGGGUGCUGGGAGCUGGUCUCUGCCUCUGCCACCUCCCCAUCCCUGCUGCAGGGUUCACAGCUCUGCUCUGAUGCCACCAGGGUGGGUGGGCUGGUGGGGCUAUGGGGUUCUGAUGAGGGCUGUGGAGUUCCAUGCAGCCAGCAGCAUUACAGCCUGGUUAUCAGGAGGCUCUGCUUUAGGAGCUCCUAGUAGGAGACUAGGGCUGGGGGUUAAGUGGAGCUGAGAGCACGCAGAAAGAUGGUGUCCAGGCAGUUCACC
rnacentral:lncRNA from 1 species